UCUUGAGUUUUAACCUCUUUCUUUUAAGAAUAGCCUCAUGGGAUGAAAGCCAUCUCUUUGCAUAUCUUAGAUUGAGCAGAUUGGUAGGUGUUCUAUAGUCAUUGAUUUCAAUUAGCAUUAGGGAAUAUUGUAUUUAAGUUACUGUCUUCUAAUCCACAUUUCAGAGGAAAUGCUUUAAUAUAUAAUAUUGAUGAGAACAGCAAAUUCACGUCUGAAAAUGCAAGAUUUUUUUUUUUUACUUAAUAAAGACAGCUAUUUAAAAUAUUUCUCUCUGAUCAUAUAAUAGUAAAAUAAUAGUAAAUCUUUGUUUCUUCUCCUUUUAGAAAUACUUAAAACAAAAAUCCCUCCACAAUAAAACAGGCAACCACAGUAUCUAUGGGGCAUCUUUUGCACCUCUCCCUUUCCCUGGCCAAAGCUCUGAGGCCUAGUGGUCUCCUCCAGACAAGCAGAGCCCCAGGGAGUACUGGGGUCUCUUCCAGGCAAGAAGAAUCGUGGAGCAGGGAAAGAGCUGGAAUCUUCUUCUAGUGAAUCAGGGCUGAAUGCAGUUGUACUGCACUCCUGAGUUCCUCUGGAAGAACAGCCAGCAAGUGAGCCACAGGCAGACAUUAGUGGAAAAUGGCCCCUGUGUGCUGCUGUGCAGGCCUGAGCUCUCAGAAGGUGGCAUGCUCAUGUCUCAGGUCUGCUUUAACAGGCCUUUGCUGUACUUUGAAUGACACCUUUAAGAAUUCUGCUUUCCUCUUUCCUUGCUGUUCCUCCUCUUCCCUUCCCUUCCCUCCCCUCUCCUCUCUUCUCCUUUUCUUUUCUUUCCUUUCCUGUUCAGUUCAGUUCUGUUCUGGUGGCAGGGGUAAGGACAGAAUCUAGCACAUGACAUGUGAUAGGCAAGGACUACAGCUCAGAGACAAAGUGACAAGGAGUCACAAACGGAGGCUUGUGGGAAGUAUAUCGGGUUCCUAAGGUUUAAGCUAAUGUGCUUUUAAAUAAUACAUUUUCUUAACCACAGUAAAACAAACAGCACGUGUGCGUAGAUAGUAAUGGUUAGCUUUUGUGUAUAUUUUUUAAUUGCUUUAUGUCAAUAUGUUCAUAUCACAGAUACUUAGUGAUGAGUUCAGCCUGAGGUGCAGGAGGAAUCCAGUUGCUGAGAAAUGACCAUGCUUCCUCUAAGUCCUCAGCUGGGGCAAUCCCGUGUGCAGUAGCCUCCUGCACCCUGGGCUGCAGCAGUGGCAGACAACGUUCUCCUAAGAGCAGGGCAAUUCCUUGCUGAGUGGGUUUUUGUGAAUCCCAUAGCACACGUAGGCUGACGCUGUGAUGGAGUGUCUUGCCAUUGUUGUCCAGCAGCCCCUUCCAUAGCAAGUUGUCCUCUCAGUUCUCAGGCUCACCUUUACUUGCCCAGCCGUCAGGACUCUGCUACUAUGUUUUGUUCUGUUUAUGUUUUCUUUCAAACUGCAUCUGCUUCAAGUUUAGUAGAGACGUGGAUUUUAGGUAGGCCUCCUUUGAGAAAUGUGUACUAUUCAAUGGUGUUCACAGAUUUUAAAUCAAGACGCCUGAGAAUGGUUUUAGAUUUUGUCUCUUUUUGUGCCAGUCUGUGACUUCUAUUUGCUAAGUGACUUGACUGUAGUUUCCAAAAACAGAAAAAGGUGAAGUAUCUGGGCUAGCCUGUUCACCUCUGAUCUCUCAUGUCUGGGCAAAUGUCAGUUUCUUACAUGGUGAAACCUGACAUUGAAAGAUGAAUGACUGUGCAGUGGGAAGCUGAGGUGUUCGCGUCCAGAUCCAUAGUCUCCUCAGUUCACAGAAGUGGGCUGAGGAGGAAAGCUCAGUAAAGAAGGACAAGAUCAGAACCAUAGCCUUUAAAAAAAAAUCAGCUUUCACACCCCAUUUGCGGUCUUCACCACUGGGCUACCAGUCAGCAGCCCAGCCUGCUGCAAGGAGAGAGCAUAUGAUGUAGGUGUUUUUUGUCAAGAACAUCCUUUUAAUCUAACAUUGGUUGUUCCUUCUCAUCCUCAGUGCGCUUUUGACCUAGAAAAGCACCCUAAGAACCGUUGAAGACUUACCCCAGACUGAGUGGCCACUAAAGCCGUUACAGAUGAACACACGUGUGUGUGCUCGGCU
rnacentral:lncRNA from 1 species